GACCUCUUUGUGCUACCACAGGCUGUGUUCCUACUCUGACUGCAUAGAAAGAAGAAGCAGAAUAAACCUCCCUAUGUACAUCCCAGCCUAGGCCACUGUGCCUGGUGUGUAUUGUGAAUGGGGAGACAUGG